rnacentral:rRNA from 1 species
UACGUAGGGUGCAAGCGUUAUCCGGAUUUACUGGGCUUAAAGGGUGCGUAGGUGGGUCUGUAAGUCAGUGGUGAAAUCUCCGGGCUUAACCCGGAAACUGCCAUUGAUACUAUAGGUCUUGAAUUAUCUGGAGGUAAGCGGAAUAUGUCAUGUAGCGGUGAAAUGCGUAGAUAUGACAUAGAACACCAAGUGCGAAGGCAGCUUACUACGGAUACAUUGACACUGAGGCACGAGAGCGUGGGGAUCAAACAGG